GUCCCUGUAGCGCAAUUGAUAGUGCGUUGGACUUCUAAUUCAUAAGUCGUGGUUUGGAGUUCCUCCUGGGAUG